GACGAACGCUGGCGGCGUGCUUAACACAUGCAAGUCGAACGGAAAGGCCCUGCUUUUGUGGGGUGCUCGAGUGGCGAACGGGUGAGUAACACGUGAGUAACCUGCCCUUGACUUUGGGAUAACUUCAGGAAACUGGGGCUAAUACCGGAUAGGAGCUCCUGCUGCAUGGUGGGGGUUGGAAAGUUUCGGCGGAUGGGGAUGGACUCGCGGCUUAUCAGCUUGUUGGUGGGGUAGUGGCUUACCAAGGCUUUGACGGGUAGCCGGCCUGAGAGGGUGACCGGCCACAUUGGGACUGAGAUCCUGCCCAGACUCCUACGGGAGGCAGCAGUGAGGAAUAUUGCACAAUGGGCGGAAGCCUGAUGCAGCAACGCCGCGUGCGGGAUGACGGCCUUCGGGUUGUAAACCGCUUUCGCCUGUGACGAAGCGUGAGUGACGGUAAUGGGUAAAGAAGCACCGGCUAACUACGUG
rnacentral:rRNA from 1 species